CACGUAGGGUGCGAGCGUUGUCCGGAAUUAUUGGGCGUAAAGAGCUCGUAGGCGGUGUGUCGCGUCGGCCGUGAAAACCUGCAGCUUAACUGUGGGCUUGCGGUCGAUACGGGCAUCACUGGAGUUCGGCAGGGGAGACUGGAAUUCCUGGUGUAGCGGUGAAAUGCGCAGAUAUCAGGAGGAACACCGAUGGCGAAGGCAGAUCUCUGGGCCGUAACUGACGCUGAUGCACGAAAGCUAGGGGAGCAAACAGG
rnacentral:rRNA from 1 species